rnacentral:rRNA from 1 species
AUGAACGCUGGCGGCAAGCCUAAAACAUGCAAGUCGAACGCCCUAGCAAUAGGGAGUGGCGCACGGGUGCGUAACAUGUGGGAAUAUGCCUUUUGGUACGGAACAACUCCGGGAAACUGGAGCUAAUACCGUAUGGUCCCUUCGGGGUAAAGAUUUAUCGCCAAGAGAUUAGCCCGCACUGGAUUAGCUAGUUGGUGAGGUAAUGGCUCACCAAGGCGGCGAUCCAUAGCUGGUCUGAGAGGACGAUCAGCCACACUGGGACUGAGACACGGCCCAGACUCCUACGGGAGGCAGCAGUUAGGAAUAUUGGACAAUGGGCGCAAGCCUGAUCCAGCUAUGCCGCGUGAGUGAUGAAGGCCUUCGGGUUGUAAAGCUCUUUAGCCGACGAAUAUAAUGACUGUAGUCGGAAAAGAAGCCCCGGCUAACUUCGU